rnacentral:rRNA from 1 species
AUUGAACGCUGGCGGCAGGCCUAACACAUGCAAGUCGAGCGGGGUUUUCGGACCUAGCGGCGGACGGGUGAGUAAUGCGUAGGAAGCUACCCGAUAGAGGGGGAUACCAGUUGGAAACGACUGUUAAUACCGCAUAAUGUCUACGGACCAAAGUGUGGGACCUUCGGGCCACAUGCUAUCGGAUGCGCCUACGUGGGAUUAGCUAGUUGGUGAGAUAAUGGCUCACCAAGGCGACGAUCCCUAGCUGGUUUGAGAGGAUGAUCAGCCACAUUGGAACUGAGACACGGUCCAGACUCCUACGGGAGGCAGCAGUGGGGAAUAUUGGACAAUGGGCGCAUGCCUGAUCCAGCCAUGCCGCGUGUGUGAAGAAGGCCUUCGGGUUGUAAAGCACUUUCAGUAGGGAGGAAGCGUUGUGUGUUAAUAGUACACAGCGUUGACGUUACCUACAGAAGAAGCACCGGCUAACUCUGUGCCAGCCGCCGCAGUAACAC